rnacentral:rRNA from 1 species
CCUACGGGGUGCAGCAGUGGGGAAUAUUGCACAAUGGGCGCAAGCCUGAUGCAGCCAUGCCGCGUGUAUGAAGAAGGCCUUCGGGUUGUAGAGUACUUCCAGCGGGGAGGAAGGCGAUAAGGUUAAUAACCUUGUCGAUUGACGUUACCCGCAGAAGAAGCACCGGCUAACUCCGUGCCAGCAGCCGCGGUAAUACGGAGGGUGCAAGCGUUAAUCGGAAUUACUGGGCGUAAAGCGCACGCAGGCGGUCUGUAAAGUCGGAUGUGAAAUCCACGGGCUCAACCUGGGAACUGCAUUAGAAACUGGCAGGCUGGAGUCUUGUAGAGGGGGGUAGAAUUCCAGGUGUAGCGGUGAAAUGCGUAGAGAUCUGGAGGAAUACCGGUGGCGAAGGCGGCCCCCUGGACAAAGACUGACGCUCAGGUGCGAAAGCGUGGGGAGCAAACAGGAUUAGAUACCCCUGUAGUC